AAUAGUCGUUAUAAAAUUGAUAGAACCUAAAAUGGAUGAAAUACCAGAUAGAUGAAGACUAGAAAUUGUUGAAUAACUGCUCCUCCAGAAUUAGGAUAUGGUUGGAAUAUGAUGAAAU